rnacentral:RNase_P_RNA from 1 species
GACAAACGCGCUAUCCUUGUGAUGGUGAGGAAAGUCCUUGCUCACACAGUCUGUGAUGACUGUAGUGUUUAUGCUAGAGGAAUUAUACUAACUCUAGGUAGUAGAAAUACUAACGGACGCGAAAAUAUCUAAGUCUUUGAUAUGAUAUGAUUAGCUGUAAAAGUGCCGCAGAGACGAUGCUUUCAGAAAUGAAAGAGUGAAACGUGGUAAACCCCAUAAGUGAGAAAUCCAAAAUUGGUAGGAGAGCUUUAACAAAGGAAAGAUAACGGAGUUAGAGACCAGAAAUGGUAGAUAAAUGUUUGUCACCUAGAAAUAGGUACAGAACGAGGCUUAUAA